UCCAUCGAAGAUCCUUAAAGAUAUUUUAUGAGUAUCUUAGCUCAAAAAAAAAGAAAAAAAAAAUCAAAACUGCCAAAUACACUUAGCAUCGGCGUUUAGAUAAGUGACUUUAGCAUCCUUUGGAACCAACGACGUAUCAGUAUAUUGUUGGCUAUAUUUUUUAACAAAAGAAAAAAAUAAUUACCCUAUUUCAUUUUCAUCUUUCUCGUCUUUUUCCGCAGUGACAAACUUUUUUGAAGCGGAGGAAAAAGUCUGAGAAGGAAACGGCCUGAAGUUUAUGCUUGAGAAAUCUGUGAACAAGGGUGAUGCUUCUACUGUGUUAAGUUACAGAGGGUUAUCAAAUUCAACGGCGGAGUGGCUCGGUCUAGACAAAGAACUGAAGAAGCUUGUGGUUGACACAACUGCCAAUCAAGUAAAUUAUCUAUGAUCUAUAAAUGCGAUAUCUUUACUUUGGUUUUUAUAUGAUUUACACAGAGAGACUAUGUGAGGAAGUGUUGAAGUGUUGAUUAAUUUAAGGCAUAUCGGUGGAGGUAACUUUUCUACAUCCAUACGUCUUUGGACAUCGUCAAGACACUGUGAUUUAUAUCUUCCCUUAUCUUGUUCCCUUUAUGAAAUCCGGGGACGCAGUUGAGCAUCGACACUCCUACUAAAUCUACAGGGAACACAGACAAUGGACUGAUGAAGAAGCUGAAAGAGUUUGAUGGACUUGCUAUGUCUCUAGGAAAUGGAAAUCCUGAAACUGGUACAGAUGAACAUAACUUUUCAAAAUUAAAAUUAAUCAUUUUGUAAUCUAUUUUUAAUAUGUUUUAUGUCAUGUUUGUUUAAACUUUUAUU